CGCGGCCUAUCAGCUUGUUGGUGGGGUGAUGGCCUACCAAGGCGACGACGGGUAGCCGGCCUGAGAGGGCGACCGGCCACACUGGGACUGAGACACGGCCCAGACUCCUACGGGAGGCAGCAGUGGGGAAUAUUGCACAAUGGGCGAAAGCCUGAUGCAGCGACGCCGCGUGAGGGAUGACGGCCUUCGGGUUGUAAACCUCUUUCAGCAGGGAAGAAGCGAAAGUGACGGUACCUGCAGAAGAAGCGCCGGCUAACUACGUGCCAGCAGCCGCGGUAAUACGUAGGGCGCAAGCGUUGUCCGGAAUUAUUGGGCGUAAAGAGCUCGUAGGCGGCUUGUCACGUCGGAUGUGAAAGCCCGGGGCUUAACCCCGGGUCUGCAUUCGAUACGGGCAGGCUAGAGUGUGGUAGGGGAGAUCGGAAUUCCUGGUGUAGCGGUGAAAUGCGCAGAUAUCAGGAGGAACACCGGUGGCGAAGGCGGAUCUCUGGGCCAUUACUGACGCUGAGGAGCGAAAGCGUGGGGAGCGAACAGGAUUAGAUACCCUGGUAGUCCACGCCGUAAACGUUGGGAACUAGGUGUUGGCGACAUUCCACGUCGUCGGUGCCCCAGCUAACGCAUUAAGCUCCCCGCCUGGGGAGUACGG
rnacentral:rRNA from 1 species